UCCCUGGUGGUCCAGUGGUUAGGACUUUGUACUUUCACUGCCGAGGGCCUGGGUUCUAUCCCUGGUCAGGGAA
rfam:Ovis aries breed Texel chromosome 5, whole genome shotgun sequence.